UACGUAGGUGGCAAGCGUUAUCCGGAUUUACUGGGUGUAAAGGGCGUGUAGGCGGUUUUGCAAGUCAGAUGUGAAAUCUCCGGGCUUAGCCCGGAAACUGCAUCUGAAACUGCAGAACUUGAGUACUGGAGAGGAUAGUGGAAUUCCUAGUGUAGCGGUAAAAUGCGUAGAUAUUAGGAGGAACACCAGUGGCGAAGGCGACUAUCUGGACAGUAACUGACGCUGAGGCGCGAAAGCGUGGGGAGCAAACAGGAUUAGAUACCCCUGUA
rnacentral:rRNA from 1 species